rnacentral:lncRNA from 10 species
CAGGAUUGCAGUUAGUCCUAAAACAAGUUCUCUUCUCCUAAACCUUGCAGAAGAGGAGGAUUUUGCAAUCUGUGAGCUUACCAGGGCUAAAGAAGUUCCUGCAAGAGAAGAGUGGGGCCUGGGUCUGCCUUUCCCAUUGCCAAGAUGCCGUCUGCUGGCAACAUCAUCCAUUAUGACUGAUCAUGGCAAAUGCCGGUCAGCUGGCCUCACAGCAGUUGUUAGGAAAAUAGUCUUUGGCUUGAUUAUGUUAUCUGGCUUUCCCCAAGGAGGUGUCCUCAGAUAUGUUCAAGCCCAAAAGAAUCUUAUACCUGGACCCCCCAGUCCCUAGCCCCUGGAAAAGACUCAGAAUGGAUGGAAGUUGUUUAUAAAUUCUCCUCUGCUGCAUACUGUUAAGAAGGGGAAAGAGGAGUGCUGGACUCACCCUGAAUUCUUUCUUACGCGAGAUCCAAGAAUUGUCUCUUGGGGUCUGUGCUGGGACUGCUUUCCUGUAACAUAUUUCUGGCGUCCACAGAAGGGACUAUAGUGAGGAAACCACUGACUUUGGAUCACUCCCUGCAGGUGAAGCCAACUGCCAUGUUGUGCAGAGGCUCCAGCCUCCCGUGGAGAGGCCCACACGGAGAGGAUCUGCCAUCGCCAGCAGGAGCUUUCCAGCCAUAUGAUUUCUGGCAUGGGAGACACUGAACCAUAACCACCCAGCUAAGCUGCCCCUGGAUUCCUGACCUGCAAGACAUGAAGUGAGAUAACAAAUGGUGUUGUUGUAAACCUUACCAUUUCUGGGUAAUUCAUUGUGCAGCAGUAGAUAACUGAUACCAGACCCUUCACUGAGUCUUUUGGGCUUGAAAUGGAGAGAGUCAGGCUAAUUUGGGAUCUGGGAUCUCUUGGCAGACAUUAUUUCCUAUCAUAAAGAUCAGAAUGCCAGAAGAAGCCAGUUUCCAAGCAAGAGAGGGCAAAAUGAGAGAGGGAGAGUGGGAGAGAGAAAGAGAGAAGAGAAUAGAGAGAGAGAAGACUGGGGUGUGUGUGUUAUUUCUACCUUUUUUUGGGUGACAAAACCCAGAUUUACCUUUGCAGGGAUGACUCUUUUCCCACUCUGUGUUCAUUUGGUUCGAUAGAUCUGGCUGCACGCCCUCGCUUCCUGGGUGAUUAUGUAAUUUACAUAGUUUUAGCACCAAUAUGAAGUAGUUUCUGAAGCUAGCCUCCGGGGUUUUCAGUUAUCUGAGCCAGUAUUUCCUCCCUACUUUUUUUUUUGCUAAACUUGGUUUGACUUGAGUCUCACAAGUGAAAGCGACUUCAUUGAAACAGGAGCAGAGAGAAGCAGCAGAUAGAGAUUAAGAAAUUUCUUGAGAAUGUACAAAUUCCUGGAUCCAGCUGUUCCCAAAACCCAGGCAAAUCCUGCCUUCAAUAACAACAGCCGGACAGCAGCAACAGCAAACAUUUAUUGAAUACUUAUAAUGAAUUCCACCUUUGGCUAAUUUAGUUUCUCCCAUUCGCAAUCAAGAAAGUCUUGAAGAAUACAAUAUCCAUUGCAAAAAUAUCUGGAAAGGGAGAUAAUGUGCCAAGGGAAGCAAAAUAAAUCAAGGUUUACAAAAAGACAAAAGUGAAAGAUCACGCAAGACCAUAACUGUGUCAUGUGUAAAUUUCACCUAGGCCUUCUCUGUAUUUAGGGCACCCUGUGACAGGGACCUCAGCCCCAUAGGGAGAUCUCAAUGGAUUAGAUGCUAAGCUGAUGCAGGCUUGGGGAGUUGCCAGAGAAACCUAAGCAAGGCAUACAUCUAAAAGCUUUCUGAAUAGUUAAAAUUAGGUCCUAAAUCUAUCUUCUUAUUAAGAAUGACAGGGAUGGGCCGGGUGUGGUGGCUCACACCUAUAAUCCCAGCACUUUGGGAGGCUGAGGCAGGCGGAUCACUUGAGAUCAGGAGUUCAAGACCAGCCUGGUCAACAUAGAGAAACCCCAUCUCUACUAAAAAUACAAAAAAUUAGCGGGGCGUGGUGGCACAUGCCUGUAAUCCCAGUUACUUGGGAGGCUGAGGCAGGAGAAUCACUUGAAUCUGGGAGGCAGAGGUUACACGGAGCCAAGUUUGUGCUAUUGCACUCCAGCCUGGGCGACAGAGUGAGACUCCACCUCAAAAAAAAAAAAAAAAAAAAAAAAGAAUGUUAGGGAUGGAAGAUGGUGUUGGAAGGGGGAUGUUUUUAAAUUGAGAAACCAUAUUCCUUAUGUAUUCUUUUUUUUUUCUCUUAGGUUUUUUCCUUUUUUGCAUAGAAUACGAAGUUCAAGUUCUGUUGUUGUUGUCUUUGUUGUUGUUUUGAGACGGAAUUUCACUCUUGUUGCCCAGGUUGGAGUGCAAUGGUGUGAUCUUGGCUCACUGCAACCUCUGCCUCCCAGGUUCAAGUGAUUCUCCUGCUUCAGCCUCCCAAGUAACUGGGAUUACAGGCAUGCACCACCACGCCCAGCUAAUUUUUUGUAAUUUUUUUUUUUUUUUUUUUUUUUUUUUUUAGUAGAGAUGGUGUUUCUCCAUGUUGAUCAGGCUGAUCUUGAACUCCUGGCCUCAGGUGAUUUGCCUGCCUCGGCCUCCCAAAGUGGCGGGAUUACAGGCGUGAGCCACUGUGCUUGG